rnacentral:lncRNA from 1 species
CUGAUUCAUUACCUCCAGGAAGGCACCAAGUCUUUAUGAGGGAUCCACCCCCUUGCCCCAAUACCUCCCACCACACCUCACCUCCAUCAUAGGGGAUCAAAUUUCAACAUGAGACUUGGAGGAGACAAAUAUCCAAACUGUAUCAGUUGGAGGAAAAAAGAGCUCUAAUUAUAUACAGCCUACCUUGAAUCCACCCUCGUACCUCCACACAUGAACACAUACCUGUAUUGCGAUGAUCCUAUCCAGCUGAUUCAAAAAGAUGCAUGUGGGAUGUGCGUGUUUCUCUAUCCCAAAAGAUUGACAGCAACAAGGCUCAGUCAUCUCUGUGGCCCCUCAUUGCCAAGGUCAUGGUUGGCUCAAGGAGAACCCCAGGAUUGAAAGCCCUCGACUCCACCUCAUCCAACUAGAUGGAUGCAAGCUCCACAUCUUCCUUCCUCUGUUGUCUUGCUCUUUAAAGCCAGGAAUACCCCUUAUCAGCUAGUUAGCUCUAUCCUUCCAGAGUUCUAUUUACUGUAUCCAGUGUUUUAGGGUGAGAAUACUUCUGUCCUGUCUCAUUUUCUAGUAGUAGAUGUGUGUAUCUUUUUUCCCAAUAAAUUAUUGCCUUCAUAGCAGGAAGUGUCCAUACAAAACAUCCGAGUUACUUUAUACAUAAGAUCUCUGGAUGUGAAUAAAAAUAAAAAGUUCCUGUCAGUAAAAAAAAAUCCAAUCUAGUUUAUUACUAAUUCUUCCAUUUUUAAAGAUUUACAUAUUAUGAGUUCUUACAUAUGCCCCAUCAUGGUUUUUUUAGUAUAAUAUUUAUCCUCCUUCAGUACUUCUUGUGCCUGAAAUCCUUCCCCUACACAGCCUCGCUUUAUUACUCUUACCACUAGUGCUGCUGCUACUACUAUUAUUACUGCUACACUGUAAUUAUUACAUCCUUCACCACCAGCAAGGUCACCACUACUAUUACUGCUGGAACUUGUCCUUCUAGUCUCAGCUUUAUCUUAUGUUCCAGACAAGCUAAGUCCUCCAAAUCAGAUCUUUCCUUCCAGUGCUCCAGCAUUGUAGGAAUUGCUGAUAUGCUGUGGUAUUGGUCUCCUUCUCCUUCUAUUGAUCUCAUCGACUAAUCAUAUGCCAUUAUAUCUAUCACAUCAAAUAUAUUGUAUCUGGACAAGAAAAAUGUUGUGGACCCUGCUCUAACUAUUCACAGAGCUUUCCUUUUUCCCUUUCUUGCGUGUGUCAAAAUUAUUGCUAUGGUUGUUUAACACUAGGCAGGGAGAAACAACAAGGGGAAACACUUAGGCAGUGUUUAAGUCACUUAUGCAGUGACUAAGUUCCCCUUACAUAGGGCAGUACCACAGUGCUUAGCAAAGUGUGUGGCAUCCAGUGGGCGAUUAAUAUUUAUUUGUUGAAUUAGUAAAUAAAGUGGCCAUCUCCACAUUUCACAGCCACUGUAAAGACAAAGAGAAUCAUUUGGAGCCCAUCCACCUUUUCAGGACAGUUUAAACUACAGAACCAAAUAAGUAAGCCCCAUGCUGAUUAUCUGAGGGUAGGGGAUUUCAGAAAACAGCAGGGUUGCUGAAGAAAGAGAAGAAGGUAAUUAUAACUAAGUAGAGACUAAACAGGUAUCAGAAAGCAUUAAAAUGAACCCACUGAUUAAGAACACUGAGUGUCUUGCUUAGCUUGUCAUAAUAGGUGGGGGAGUCGAACUGCUGAUGUAUGGGAAAGGAAGAGGGGAGUUUUGUUUUUCUUUUUGAGAGAGUCUCACUCGGUUGCCCAGACUGGUGUGCAGUGGCACGAUCUCGGCUCACUGCAACCUCUGCCUCCUAGGUUUAAGCGAUUCUCCUGCCUCAGCCUCCCAAGUAGCUGGGGAUUUUUUUUUUUAACAAAGGAAACCAGAAGGGACACAAG